UGCAUUUUUUAGUUUGAGAGGGAGAAAGGGUGUGUGUUUGGGAAACGAGGGUUUAAGGGUGAGAGUGGAAAGGGCAUAGCAGUCACGUAGAUUUGGAUGAUACUAAAACAUGUCACACCUGUUUAAUUUAAUGAACAAUGUCAUGCCAUAAAAUAAAAAAAUACACGUCAAUUCAACUUUAUGUCGUUUGAGACAACUUAA
rnacentral:lncRNA from 1 species